rnacentral:rRNA from 1 species
UACGGAGUGUGCAAGCGUUACUCGGAAUCACUGGGCAUAAAGGGCGUGUAGGCGGGCUUUCAAGUCGGUUGUGAAAUCCCUCAGCUCAACUGAGGAACUGCAGCCGAUACUGUUUGUCUUGAGGACGAGAGGGGAGAGUGGAACUUCUGGUGGAGCGGUGAAAUGCGUAGAUAUCAGAAGGAACGCCGGUGGCGAAAGCGACUCUCUGGCUCGUAACUGACGCUGAAACGCGAAAGCUUGGGUAGCAAACGGG